UUUCUUAAUUAUAUAUUAAGUAAACUCUGCCCAGUCUUAGAAACGGCCAUAGAAUAAAUAACUAUGCAAAGGUAGCAUAAUUACUUGCCGCUUAAUUAGCGGAUUGUUUGAAUGAGUUAUUGAAUAUUAUAUUAUGGUAAGGAAACUAUCACAUUUAAAAAGUAGGUGAAAAUCCCUAUUUAUAAGGAGUAGACGAGAAGACCCUAAAACCUAUCGUUGAUUUGUUGGGGAAACAGGCUAUUAAAUUUAGAAUUACAACCUUUUUAUAAAUAAUUAGGUACUUUAGGGAUAACAGCAUAAUAUUUUUUUUAUAGCCCUUAUAUUAAAAAAAGAGUAUGACCUCGAUGUUGAACUAGAAUAAAGCCUAACAGCAGCUGGUUAGGUGAAGUGACUGUUCGUCACUGUGUUUCU
rnacentral:rRNA from 1 species